rnacentral:rRNA from 1 species
UACGAGGGGGGCAAGCGUUGUUCGGAAUUAUUGGGCGUAAAGGGCGCGUAGGCGGUGCGGUAAGUCUGAUGUGAAAUCUCCGGGCUCAACUCGGAGUCUGCAUCAGAAACUGCCGUGCUCGAGUGUGGGAGAGGUGAGUGGAAUUCCCGGUGUAGCGGUGAAAUGCGUAGAUAUCCGGAGGAACACCGGUGGCGAAGGCGGCUUCCUGGACCGAUUACUGACGCUGAGGCGCGAAAGCUAGGGGAGCAAACGGG